GACGAACGCUGGCGGCGUGCUUAACACAUGCAAGUCGAACGGAAAGGCCCUGCUUUUGUGGGGUGCUCGAGUGGCGAACGGGUGAGUAACACGUGAGUAACCUGCCCUUGACUUUGGGAUAACUUCAGGAAACUGGGGCUAAUACCGGAUAGGAGCUCCUGCUGCAUGGUGGGGGUUGGAAAGUUUCGGCGGUUGGGGAUGGACUCGCGGCUUAUCAGCUUGUUGGUGGGGUAGUGGCUUACCAAGGCUUUGACGGGUAGCCGGCCUGAGAGGGUGACCGGCCACAUUGGGAGUGAGAGACGGCCGAGACUCCCACGGGCGGCAGGAGGGGGGAAUAUUGCAUAAUGGGCGGAAGCCUGAUGCAGCAACGCCGCGUGCGGGAUGACGGCCUUCGGGUUGUAAACCGCUUUCGCCUGUGACGAAGCGUGAGUGACGGUAAUGGGGAAAGAAGCACCGGCUAACUACGU
rnacentral:rRNA from 1 species